GACGGUGCCGAGAUUGUGGCCGGACGCAUUCCAUCCGAUCUCGCGGCCUUCAAGAACCGCGACGCUUGCGCCCAUCCGCGCCGCUUCCCGCGCCAUGGUCAGACCGGCGAGCCCUCCCCCGAUCACACAGAUGUCGACAUCCAGGUCGAACGUCAGCCGCGGGUGGGCCGGCUGGUCCGCCGACGAAUUCANGCUGUUCCAAGAUCGCCUGUCGCAAGCGGUAUUUUCUGGGUGUAACGGUGUCCCCGUCCGUCACAAUAUCGGACGUAAGCUUGUACACUAUUCCGCGCCGUGCCCUAGUGUUUGCCGCACCACGUCCACCGAAACGAGAUCGCGAUAAUGCGCCGUCUGAUCCUGCUCCGCCACGCCAAGACCGAGCGGGAUGCCCCUUCCGGCAAGGAU
rnacentral:misc_RNA from 1 species